AUUUUAUAUAUUUCUUUAGAAAAGUUAAACCAAAAAAAAAAAAAGAUUAUAAAGCCGCUGUUAC
rnacentral:ribozyme from 1 species